AAGGGAGACCUAAUUCGGGUAGAAGACGAAAAAAUAGUAGUCGAAACCAAGAAUCAAUCCCAAAAGGUCGGAACGAGGUAUGUGGCUUUCAAACUAGGUUCUGGGUUCACAAAAGACCUGAAUCAGGAACAAGGGCUAUUAGCUCAGGUGGUUAGAGCGCACCCCUGAUAAGGGUGAGGUCCCUGGUUCGAGUUCAGGAUGGCCCACCUGCACAGGUGGCAAAAACAGGAGAAACGAGGAAUCAGCACCUUAUCUUACUUACAUAGUAAGAGAGAAUGCUGGCUCUGAGUAAAGAGUCCAGAGGAACCUUGAAAACUGCAUAGAGCUAGGUGAAAAAGCCAAAAAAGAAGACCGCAA
rnacentral:tRNA from 1 species